AGAGAGUACAAUGGUGGUUACCAGAGA
rnacentral:piRNA from 1 species